UACGAAGGGGGCUAGCGUUGUUCGGAAUCACUGGGCGUAAAGGGCGCGUAGGCGGCCGUUCAAGUCGGGGGUGAAAGCCUGUGGCUCAACCACAGAAUGGCCUUCGAUACUGGACGGCUCGAGACCGGAAGAGGUCAGUGGAACUGCGAGUGUAGAGGUGAAAUUCGUAGAUAUUCGGCGGAACACCAGUGGCGAAGGCGACUCACUGGCCCGAUACUGACGCUGAGGCGCGAAAGCGUGGGGAGCAAACAGG
rnacentral:rRNA from 1 species